AUACGUAGGGUGCGAGCGUUAAUCGGAAUUACUGGGCGUAAAGCGUGCGCAGGCGGUUUUGUAAGUCAGAUGUGAAAUCCCCGGGCUUAACCUGGGAACUGCGUUUGAAACUGCAAGGCUAGAGUGUGGCAGAGGGGGGUGGAAUUCCGCGUGUAGCAGUGAAAUGCGUAGAGAUGUGGAGGAACACCGAUGGCGAAGGCAGCCCCCUGGGUCAACACUGACGCUCAGGCACGAAAGCAUGGGGAGCAAACAGGAUUAGAUACCCCAGUAGUCC
rnacentral:rRNA from 1 species